AAGUCGUAACAAGGUUUCCGUAGGUGAACCUGCGGAAGGAUCAUCAUUGAAUUAUCCAUUCUACAAACCCUGUGAACUGUAUGUAAAAAGAGUGUUUGGCAGGAAGACUUUGCCGAGUCGUGUCUCUCCGCGGAGGGGCAGCAGAGUACUGCUGUGCUACCCCAAAGCGGAUGAGCGACUGCCAUUUGCUCGCCUUUUAAAAAACGCUUUAAACAAUUAUUACUGAUACAAAUAAAUAAACUAUAAAACAACUUUCAACAAUGGAUCUCUUGGCUCUCGCAUCGAUGAAGAACGCAGCAAAUUGCGAAAAGUAAUGUGAAUUGCAGAAUUCCGUGAAUCAUCGAAUCUUUGAACGCAUAUUGCACUCUUUGGUUCUCCAGAGAGUAUGCCUGUUUGAGUAUCAUUAAUCUCUCUUUCCCUACCAAAGGGCGUUUACUCGCUUUGCGGAUAUGGUGUAAAGGAUUUGAGCAUUCUAGUGCACUUUAAGCAGUUGGCUUGAAACAUCGUCGCCUUAAGGGUUGACGAGAGCGCGUCUAGUUGCUUGAAAUGAAGCGCGUGCUGUGCUUUGCCACAUUCACGACCGGCGUAUUUAGUUCUCCUUGGAGAUUCACUUUACGCCAAGCAGGUCUGGAUAACCUUAUUUAUUAUAAUAAGGGCAUACAGUCGCGACAAAUCAUUUGACGGGGAGGGGAGCUACCAUCUCUCUCCCCCUACUUCCGAUCUCAAAUCAGGCAAGACUACCCGCUGAAUUUAA
rnacentral:rRNA from 1 species